AGAGUUUGAUCCUGGCUCAGGACGAACGCUGGCGGCGUGCCUAAUACAUGCAAGUUGAACGCAACAAAGACACCAGAGCUUGCUCUACCGUCUUUGUUGAGUAGCGAACGGGUGAGUAACGCGUGGGUAACCUGCCUUAUAGCGGGGGAUAACUAUUGGAAACGAUAGCUUAUACCGCAUAACAAUAGAGAUUGCAUAAUCUUUAUUUGAAAGUACCAACUGGUACACUAUGAGAUGGACCCGCGUUGUAUUAGCUAGUUGGUAGUGUAAUGGACUACCAAGGCGAUGAUACAUAGCCGACCUGAGAGGGUGAUCGGCCACAUUGGGACUGAGACACGGCCCAAACUCCUACGGGAGGCAGCAGUAGGGAAUCUUCGGCAAUGGACGAAAGUCUGACCGAGCAACGCCGCGUGAGUGAAGAAGGUUUUCGGAUCGUAAAACUCUGUUGUUAGAGAAGAAUGUUGAUUAGAGUGGAAAAUUAAUCAAGUGACGGUAUCUAACCAGAAAGGGACGGCUAACUACGUGCCAGCAGCCGCGGUAAUACGUAGGUCCCGAGCGUUGUCCGGAUUUAUUGGGCGUAAAGCGAGCGCAGGUGGUUUAAUAAGUCUGAUGUAAAAGGCAGUGGCUCAACCAUUGUGUGCAUUGGAAACUGUUAGACUUGAGUGCAGUAGAGGAGAGUGGAAUUCCAUGUGUAGCGGUGAAAUGCGUAGAUAUAUGGAGGAACACCGGUGGCGAAAGCGGCUCUCUGGACUGUCACUGACACUGAGGCUCGAAAGCGUGGGUAGCAAACAGGAUUAGAUACCCUGRUAGUCCACGCCGUAAACGAUGAGUGCUAGUUGUUUGGGGCUAUCCAGCCCUAAGUGACGCAGCAAACGCAUUAAGCACUCCGCCUGGGGAGUACGACCGCAAGGUUGAAACUCAAAGGAAUUGACGG
rnacentral:rRNA from 1 species